UAAUGGCCUACCAAGGCUUCGAUCGGUAGCCGGCCUGAGAGGGCACACGGCCACACUGGCACUGAAACACGGGCCAGACUCCUACGGGAGGCAGCAGUGGGGAAUCUUGCGCAAUGGAGGCUACUCUGACCGAGCAACGCCGCGUGCAGGAAGACGGCCUUCGGGUUGUAAACUGCUUUACUGGGGGAAGAGGAUGGACGGUACCCCAGCAAGAAGCCCCGGCUAACUACGUGCCAGCAGCCGCGGUAAGACGUAGGGGGCAAGCGUUGUCCGGAGUUACUGGGCGUAAAGCGCACGCAGGCGGUCCUGCGCGUUUCCGGUGCCAGCUCUUCGCUUAACGAGGGGAGUGCCGGGAAGACGGUGGGGGCUUGAGGGCCUUAGAGGGACUUAUAAUUUCCGGGUGGAGUGGAUGAAAAUG
rnacentral:rRNA from 1 species